UACGGAGGAUGCAAGCGUUGUCCGGAUUCAUUGGGUUUAAAGGGUGCGUAGGCGGAGAAUUAAGUCAGUGGUGAAAGCUUGCAGCUUAACUGUGAAAAUGCCAUUGAAACUGAUUUUCUUGAGUUCGAUUGAGGUAGAUGGAAUGUAUCAUGUAGCGGUGAAAUGCUUAGAUAUGAUACAGAACACCAAUUGCGAAGGCAGUCUACUAAGUCGAUACUGACGCUGAGGCACGAAAGCAUGGGGAGCAAACAGG
rnacentral:rRNA from 1 species